rnacentral:tRNA from 1 species
GUUAUCGUGGCUGAGUGGUUAAGGCGAAGGACUUGAAAUCUUUUGGGAUCUUCCCGCGCAGGUUCGAACCUGCCGACAUCG